AGAGUUUGAUCAUGGCUCAGAGCGAACGCUGGCGGCGUACUUAACACAUGCAAGUCGAACGAGAAUCGUCUGUGUAGCAAUACAUAGGCGGUUCUAGUGGCGUACGGGUGAGUAACACGUGGGCAACCUGCCCUUGAGUCCGGGAUACCCUCUCGAAAGGGAGGCUAAUACUGGAUACGUUCCUCGGGUCGCGAGAUCUGGGGAGGAAAGGUGGCGAAAGCUGCCGCUCUUGGAGGGGCUCGCGGCCUAUCAGCUAGUUGGUGAGGUAAUGGCUCACCAAGGCUAUGACGGGUAGCUGGUCUGAGAGGACGACCAGCCACACGGGAACUGAGACACGGUCCCGACUCCUACGGGAGGCAGCAGUGGGGAAUUUUCCGCAAUGGGCGAAAGCCUGACGGAGUGACGCCGCGUGGGGGACGAAGGCCUUCGGGUUGUAAACCCCUGUCAGAGGGAAAGAAGGGCGCUGACGUUAAUAGCGGCGGCGUCUGACGGUACCUUCAGAGGAAGCCCCGGCCAACUCUGUGCCAGCAGCCGCGGUAAGACAGAGGGGGCAAGCGUUGCUCGGAAUCACUGGGCGUAAAGGGCGCGUAGGCGGGAUGGCAAGUCAGUCGUGAAAUCUCUCGGCUCAACCGAGAAACGUCGGCUGAUACUG
rnacentral:rRNA from 1 species